rnacentral:rRNA from 1 species
GACGAACGCUGGCGGCGUGCUUAAUACAUGCAAGUCGAGCGAUGAAAUCCCUUCGGGGAUGGAUUAGCGGCGGACGGGUGAGUAACACGUGGGCAACCUGCCUUAUAGAGAGGAAUAGCCAUCCGAAAGGAUGAUUAAUAACUCAUAAUAUUGUAGCUUCGCAUGGAGCAACAAUCAAACGACAAAUCCCCUAUAAGAUGGGCCCGCGGCGCAUUAGCUAGUUGGUGAGGUAACGGCUCACCAAGGCGACGAUGCGUAGCCGAACUGAGAGGGUGACCGGCCACAUUGGGACUGAGACACGGCCCAGACUCCUACGGAGGGCAGCAGUGGGGAAUAUUGCACAAUGGGGGAAACCCUGAUGCAGCAACGCCGCGUGAGUGAUGACGGCCUUCGGGUUGUAAAGCUCUGUCUUCAGGGACGAUAAUGACGGUACCUGAGGAGGAAGCCACGGCUAACUACGUGCCAGCCGCCGCGGUAAUAC